rnacentral:rRNA from 1 species
AUUGAACGCUGGCGGCAGGCCUAACACAUGCAAGUCGAGCGGCAGCGGGAAAGUAGCUUGCUACUUUUGCCGGCGAGCGGCGGACGGGUGAGUAAUGCCUGGGAAAUUGCCCAGUCGAGGGGGAUAACAGUUGGAAACGACUGCUAAUACCGCAUACGCCCUACGGGGGAAAGCAGGGGACCUUCGGGCCUUGCGCGAUUGGAUAUGCCCGGGUGGGAUUAGCUAGUUGGUGAGGUAAUGGCUCACCAAGGCGACGAUCCCUAGCUGGUCUGAGAGGAUGAUCAGCCACACUGGAACUGAGACACGGUCCAGACUCCUACGGGAGGCAGCAGUGGGGAAUAUUGCACAAUGGGGGAAACCCUGAUGCAGCCAUGCCGCGUGUGUGAAGAAGGCCUUCGGGUUGUAAAGCACUUUCAGCGAGGAGGAAAGGUCAGUAGCUAAUAUCUGCUGGCUGUGACGUUACUCGCAGAAGAAGCACCGGCUAACUCCGUGCCAGCCGCCGCAGUAACAC